rnacentral:rRNA from 1 species
CAGCCGCCGCGGUAAUACGUAGGUGGCAAGCGUUGUCCGGAAUUAUUGGGCGUAAAGGGCUCGCAGGCGGUUUCUUAAGUCUGAUGUGAAAGCCCCCGGCUCAACCGGGGAGGGUCAUUGGAAACUGGGAAACUUGAGUGCAGAAGAGGAGAGUGGAAUUCCACGUGUAGCGGUGAAAUGCGUAGAGAUGUGGAGGAACACCAGUGGCGAAGGCGACUCUCUGGUCUGUAACUGACGCUGAGGAGCGAAAGCGUGGGGAGCGAACAGGAUUAGAGACCCCAGUAGUCCCUGUCUCUUAUAA